AUAUAUACACACGUGUAUACACGUGUGUGUAUAUCAUAUAUACACACGUGUAUACACGUGUGUGUAUAUC
rnacentral:pre_miRNA from 1 species